GACGAACGCUGGCGGCGUGCUUAACACAUGCAAGUCGAACGGAAAGGCCCUGCUUUUGUGGGGUGCUCGAGUGGCGAACGGGUGAGUAACACGUGAGUAACCUGCCCUUGACUUUGGGAUAACUUCAGGAAACUGGGGUUAAUACCGGAUAGGAGCCCCUGUUGCAUGGUGGGGGUUGGAAAGUUUCGGCGGUUGGGGAUGGACUCGCGGCUUAUCAGCUUGUUGGUGGGGUAGUGGCUUACCAAGGCUUUGACGGGUAGCCGGCCUGAGAGGGUGACCGGCCACAUUGGGACUGAGAUACGGCCCAGACUCCUACGGGAGGCAGCAGUGGGGAAUAUUGCACAAUGGGCGGAAGCCUGAUGCAGCAACGCCGCGUGCGGGAUGACGGCCUUCGGGUUGUAAACCGCUUUCGCCUGUGACGAAGCGUGAGUGACGGUAAUGGGUAAAGAAGCACCGGCUAACUACGUG
rnacentral:rRNA from 1 species